CUCACCAAACCAAACCAUUAAACCUGUUAACAGAGAAAGUGUGAAAAACCCCUCUCUCUCUCUCUCUCUCUCUAUCAGGUUUGCAACGAGGAAACAACACCAGAGCUCUUCGAUCUUCCAGAACAUUCUAGUAGGACGAAAGAGAUUCAUUCUUCACUUCAAACUGCAAACAACCAAAACACUAACCCGUUUUCAUGGACUUGUACGGUCGGGGCCCCGCGAGAAAUGUACACAACCCAGUGAACCAACCCGAAUGGCGCUCACCGGGCACCGACACUGGUCUCGAAGAAUCGAUGUGGCAUUUGACGCUGGGUGGUGGUGGCGAAUCUUACCCGGAGCGACCCGGUGUGCCUAAUUGUGUGUAUUACAUGCGGACUGGGGUGUGUGGAUAUGGUGGCAGGUGUCGUUACAAUCACCCUCAUGAUCGUGCUGCGGUUGUUGCGGCGGUAAGAGUUACAGGGGACUACCCCGAACGGUUGGGGGAACCUCCAUGUCAGUAUUAUUUAAAAACUGGAACCUGUAAAUUUGGUGCAUCCUGUAAAUUCCACCAUCCUAAAAAUGGAGGUGAAUAUUUAAGCCAAGCUCCACUAAAUGUUUAUGGAUACCCGUUACGGUCGGAUGAGAAAGAAUGCUCCUACUAUUUGAAAACAGGGCAGUGCAAAUAUGGUAUAUCUUGUAAAUUCCAUCAUCCUCAACCGGCGGGCACAUCAUUGCCAGCAUCUGCUGCUCAAUUUUAUCAACAGGUGCAGUCUCCUACAGUUCCUCUGCCUGAACAGUAUGUAGGAGCUUCCUCGAGCUUGAGAGUGGCCAGGCCUCCUAUAUUGCCUGGUUCAUAUGUGCAAGGGGCUUAUGGUCCUGUAUUUCUUUCCCCAGGGGUUGUCCAAUUUCCUGGAUGGAAUCAUUAUUCGGCACUUCCUGGCACUCAACCUGGUGUUGGGGCUACAUCUUUAUAUGGAGUGACCCAGUUGUCAUCACCAACAUCAGCUUUUGCUAGACCAUAUACACUGCUGCCCUCUUCCACUGGCCUUUCAGGAAGCAACCUGAAGGAACAAUUAUAUCCCAAAAGACCUGGUGAACCAGAUUGCCAAUACUAUCUGAGAACAGGGGACUGUAAAUUUGGAUUAGCUUGUCAAUAUCAUCAUCCUCAGGAUCAUGUUGUGGCACAGCCACUUCUUAGCCCUGUUGGACUUCCUUUACGUCCGGGGUUACAACCUUGUGCAUUUUAUUUGCAAAAUGGGCAUUGCAAAUUCGGCUCCACGUGCAAAUUUGACCAUUCUUUGGGAUCUAUGAGAUACAGUCCAUCGGCAUCUUCUCUCAUUGAUGUGCCAGUUACUCCAUACCUAGUUGGGUCGUUGCUGUCUCAAUUGGUUCCUUCAACAUCAGCGGACCUUCGGCCUGAACUGGCCUGAACUGAUGUCAGGGUCCAAAAAGGAAUCCUUUUCGGCCAGAAUACCUUCUUCUGGAAAUAGUUCUGGUACUUCUGUCGGUCUAAUUUUCUCACAAGGUGGGUCUGUCUUGCUAUCUGACGUGCAACUCUCAAGUCAGAGCUCUGCCCCUACAAAUAGUAGCAGAAGCACCCGACAAAGUGGUGAGAUACGUUGACCUGGCUAGUGUCAACUUGAAAAUGAGUCCUCGUUUUGUGUUGGAUGUGAUUUCACAAGACUUCAUUGCUUCUGUCUAUAGUCCUCAAUAUUUUGAUGGCAACUGUUCAAAGUUUCACUAUCGCUGUUUAGAAUUCAUCAUCCAAUUCUGUUUAGAACCCCAUGCUAGGUCAUUCUCUUUUGUGCUCACCCCAUCUGAUUAUAUUAUUAUCUCGAAUAAGGUUCAAUAGAAAACUUCAUAUUGUAUAUUCUUUCUCCCUUCUGAAUAUUAUUAUUUUACCUUCAUUUAUGGCGACAGAGCCUAGUCCAUACUCCGUACAGGAGGGCACAAGUUCCAGUUUUGCUACUGCUUUUGAGUACUUGCCAUUUCCCCCAUA